GAGGUUUUUCAAAUUCCAAUAGGGAGGAAAAGAAACCAACAGGGAUUGCCUCAGUAACGGCGAGUGAAGCGGCAAAAGCUCAAAUUUGAAAUCCCCCGGGAAUUGUAAUUUGAAGAGAUUUGGGUCCGGCCGGCAGGGGUUAAGUCCACUGGAAAGUGGCGCCACAGAGGGUGACAGCCCCGUGAACCCCUUUAACGCCUUCAUCCCAGAUCUCCAAGAGUCGAGUUGUUUGGGAAUGCAGCUCUAAGUGGGUGGUAAAUUCCAUCUAAAGCUAAAUACCGGCGAGAGACCGAUAGCGAACAAGUACAGUGAUGGAAAGAUGAAAAGCACUUUGAAAAGAGAGUGAAAAAGUACGUGAAAUUGUUGAAAGGGAAGGGCUUGCAAGCAGACACUUAACUGGGCCAGCAUCGGGGCGGCGGGGAGCAAAACCACCGGGGAAUGUACCUUUCGAGGAUUAUAACCCCGGUCCUUACUCCCUCACCAUCCCGAGGCCUGCAAUCUAAGGAUGCUGGCGUAAUGGUUGCAAGUCGCCCGUCUUAACAACGGGGACCAAACAACCAGAG
rnacentral:rRNA from 1 species